rfam:Oryza barthii chromosome 5, whole genome shotgun sequence.
AAAAAGGCGAACCCUGGGUUUCCGUGUCUAACUUUGAAUUUUCGUCUUAUAUGAAAUUUUUUUAUAAUUCGUAUUUUUAUUGUUGUUAGAUGAUAAAACAUUAUUAAUAUUUUAUGCAUGACUUGUAUUUUUAAUUUUUUUUCAUAAUUUUUUUAAAUAUAAGACGAACGGUCAAACGUUGGACAUGGAAACCAGGGUUUGUCUUUUU